rnacentral:lncRNA from 1 species
CACGAAGACUUGGAUGAGGAUGACCUAAGAAUGCCGCUAACUUAAGGGAACCACCAUGGUUUCCUACGACCCCCUUGUUGGUAUGAGUAGUUCACCGUCUCACCAGACACCGGUGAAGCGGCUGGUCCACCCACAUCCACGAGUAAAUGUGAUGUACUGAUCAGUAAAUGUGGUGUGUUUCACUGGCAGGGUUAGGACGUACCUAAUGGACGGCUUCUUCUGCCACGCUCACCACGCUUCGUGGCACACUCUCCACAACAUCAUCUGCGGCAGCGCCGGCAAGAUGG